rnacentral:rRNA from 1 species
CCUACGGGUGGCAGCAGUGGGGGAUAUUGCACAAUGGGGGGAACCCUGAUGCAGCGACGCCGCGUGGGGGAAGACGGCCCUCUGGAUUGAAAGCCACAUUGGCCAGGGACAAAGAAGACGGUACCUGCCCAGGAAGCUCCGGCUAACUACGUGCCAGCAGCCGCGGUAAUACGUAGGGGGCGAGCGUUGUCCGGAAUUACGGGGGGUAAGGGGAGCGUAGGCGGCGAUGGAGGUUGGGGGUAAAACCCGCGGGCUCAACCCGGAGUCGCCCUCAAAACUGCAGGGCUGGAGUGGGGGAGAGGCAGGCGGAAUUCCUGGUGUAGCGGUGAAAUGCGUAGAUAUCAGGAGGAACACCAGUGGCGAAGGCGGCCUGCUGGACCGUGACUGACGCUGAGGCUCGAAAGCGUGGGGAGCGAACAGGAUUAGAUACCCUGGUAGUC